rnacentral:rRNA from 1 species
UACGAAGGGUGCAAGCGUUACUCGGAAUUACUGGGCGUAAAGCGCACGUAGGUGGUUUGCUAAGUCAGCUGUGAAAUCCCCGGGCUCAACCUGGGCACUGCAGUUGAAACUGGCAAGCUAGAGUAGGGUAGAGGGGUGUGGAAUUCCAGUGGAGCGGUGAAAUGCGUAGAGAUCGGAAAGAACACCAACGGCGAAAGCACUCUGCUGGGCCGACACUGACACUGAGAGACGAAAGCUAGGGGAGCGAAUGGG